AUUGAACGCUGGCGGCAGGCCUAACACAUGCAAGUCGAACGGUAACAGGAAGCAGCUUGCUGCUUCGCUGACGAGUGGCGGACGGGUGAGUAAUGUCUGGGAAGCUGCCUGAUGGAGGGGGAUAACUACUGGAAACGGUAGCUAAUACCGCAUAAUGUCGCAAGACCAAAGAGGGGGACCUUCGGGCCUCUUGCCAUCGGAUGUGCCCAGAUGGGAUUAGCUUGUUGGUGGGGUAACGGCUCACCAAGGCGACGAUCCCUAGCUGGUCUGAGAGGAUGACCAGCCACACUGGGACUGAGACACGGUCCAGACUCCUACGGGAGGCAGCAGUGGGGAAUAUUGCACAAUGGGCGCAAGCCUGAUGCAGCCAUGCCGCGUGUAUGAAGAAGGCCUUCGGGUUGUAAAGUACUUUCAGCGGGGGGGAAGGGAGUAAAGUUAAUACCUUUGCUCAUUGACGUUACCCGCAGAAGAAGCACCGGCUAACUCCGUG
rnacentral:rRNA from 1 species